AUGCACGCUGGCGGCGUGCUUCACACCUGCCAGUCGCACGGUGAACACGGAGCUUGCUCUGUGGGAUCAGUGGCGAACGGGUGAGUAACACGUGAGCAACCUGCCCCUGACUCUGGGAUAAGCGCUGGAAACGGCGUCUAAUACUGGAUAUGUGACGUGACCGCAUGGUCUGCGUUUGGAAAGAUUUUUCGGUUGGGGAUGGGCUCGCGGCCUAUCAGCUUGUUGGUGAGGUAAUGGCUCACCAAGGCGUCGACGGGUAGCCGGCCUGAGAGGGUGACCGGCCACAAUGGGAUUGAGACACGGCACAGACUCGUACGGGAGGCAGCAGUGGGGAAUAUUGCAAAAUGGGAGAAAGCCUGAUGCAGCAACGCCGAGUGAGGGAUGACGGCCUUCGGGUUGUAAACAUAUUUUAGCAGGGAAGAAGCGAAAGUGACGGUAACUGCAGAAAAAGCGCCGGCUAACUACGUG
rnacentral:rRNA from 1 species